GUGGCUCAGGACAGGGAAAUCAUCCUCCUGGUACUCACUGUCAUCAACCUCAGACUCCACUGAGCUGCAGAGACUCAGGCGGCGCUUUGAGUCCUUCACUGUGAUGAUCUGCAGGAGGGCAGAGGAUGCCACAAAACUGAGGAUUUAGAAAAACACGCCGCUGUUGACAGACACUCUCCACGUAUCUGAGCACGCUCCACCCUAUCAGAGAUUUAGGAUCAGUCAGGACUGAGGAGUGGAGAGAAUACCUCACAUUCAGUCAGAUUGGCCUGAGAGUGUUCAUCAAAAGAAAAAUGGGCUCCUGUACCCAAAACACAGAGCUCAGACUGCUGAGCAGCCACGGCACUCGUAACCGGAUUCCUGCACUGGGAGCUUACUGGCGAGUGGUCUAUAUGGAACAAGGCAACAAAGAAAAGUUACUGCGUAGUUACAUGAUGAUUAGUGGUUAUGCAGCAGAAAUGAACCAAAGUACUUAAAGG